rnacentral:rRNA from 1 species
CCUACGGGUGGCAGCAGUGAGGAAUAUUGGUCAAUGGACGCAAGUCUGAACCAGCCAUGCCGCGUGCAGGAAGACGGCUCUAUGAGUUGUAAACCUCUUUUGUCGGAGAACAAAACCCGGGACGUGUCCCGGACUGCGUGUAUCCGACAAACAAGCAUCGGCUAACUCCGUCCCAGCAGCCGCGGUAAUACGGGGGAUGCGAGCGUUAUCCGGAUUUAUUGGGUUUAAGGGGUGCGUGGGCGGUCCGUUAUGUCAGCGGUAAAGUUGCGGGGCUCAACCCGGGCGAGCCGUGGAAACUGGCAGACUUGAGUGGGCGAGAGGUAGGCGGAAUGCGCGGUGUAGCGGUGAAAUGCAUAGAUAUCGCGCAGAACACCGAUUGCGAAGGCAGCGUACCGGCGCCAGACUGACGUUGAGGCACGAAAGCGUGGGGAGCGAACAGGAUUAGAUACCCUAGUAGUC